AUUGAACGCUGGCGGCAGGCCUAACACAUGCAAGUCGAGCGAGCGGCGGACGGGUGAGUAAUGUCUGGGAAACUGCCUGAUGUAGGGGGAUAUCUACUGUAAACAGUAUCUCAUACCCCAUACCCUCCUGUGUGCCCAGAUGGGGUUAGAUAGUAGGUGGGGUAACGGCGCACCUAGGCGACGAUCCCUAGCUGGUCUGAGAGGAUGACCAGCCAAACUGGAACUGAGACACGGUCCAGACGCCUACGGGAGGCAGCAGUGGGGAAUAUUGGACAAUGGGCGCAAGCCUGAUGCAGCCAUGCCGCGUGUGUGAAGAAGGCCUUCGGGUUGUAAAGCACUUUCAGCGGGGAGGCGUUACCCGCAGAAGAAGCACCGGCUAACUACGUGCCAGCAGCCGCGGUAAUAC
rnacentral:rRNA from 1 species